CAGCCGAACGAGUUCUCGUUGAUGAUCGGUGCUUGCACCGAGAUUCAACAUAGAACGAGUGGCGGACGGGUGAGUAACACGUGGGUAACCUGCCCUUAAGUGGGGGAUAACAUUUGGAAACAGAUGCUAAUACCGCAUAGAUCCAAGAACCGCAUGGUUCUUGGCUGAAAGAUGGCGUAAGCUAUCGCUUUUGGAUGGACCCGCGGCGUAUUAGCUAGUUGGUGAGGUAAUGGCUCACCAAGGCGAUGAUACGUAGCCGAACUGAAAGGUUGAUCGGCCACAUUGGGACUGAGACACGGCCCAAACUCCUACGGGAGGCAGCAGUAGGGAAUCUUCCACAAUGGACGCAAGUCUGAUGGAGCAACGCCGCGUGAGUGAAGAAGGCUUUCGGGUCGUAAAACUCUGUUGUUGGAGAAGAAUGGUCGGCAGAGUAACUGUUGUCGGCGUGACGGUAUCCAACCAGAAAGCCACGGCUAACUACGUGCCAGCAGCCGCGGUAAUACGUAGGUGGCAAGCGUUAUCCGGAUUUAUUGGGCGUAAAGCGAGCGCAGGCGGUUUUUUAAGUCUGAUGUGAAAGCCCUCGGCUUAACCGAGGAAGCGCAUCGGAAACUGGGAAACUUGAGUGCAGAAGAGGACAGUGGAACUCCAUGUGUAGCGGUGAAAUGCGUAGAUAUAUGGAAGAACACCAGUGGCGAAGGCGGCUGUCUGGUCUGUAACUGACGCUGAGGCUCGAAAGCAUGGGUAGCGAACAGGAUUAGGUACCCUGGUAGUCCAU
rnacentral:rRNA from 1 species